UUUUGAUAUAUGAUAUUUGUGAGUUUAAUUCUCUCUCAAGUUUCGAAUUCUUCUUGACUCAAACAAGGAUUCAACCUAUCGACGAAUCGACGAGAUCAUCAUCCCUCGCCGUGUGUCAUUCAGCGUCUCCGAGUUACUGCGUCAAAUGCACGUUGGGGUUUAGGGAAUUGUUCGCCUAGAUCAUUUCGUGGUUUAGAUUCAGGGGUUUUGAGACAUUCCAUCUUCUAUCUGUCUUUAAUUUGUUUGUCGUGCGUUUUCAGUCUUCCGCUUACAAAUCAUUUAGACCUGGUAAUUUCCAUAUCGUUAUAUUAUUGCUGGUGUUUGCCGGUGAAAUCCUUAACUACCGGCGAAGAUCAUAUCAUCUGGUAUCAGUUUUCCAGGUUUCGUAAGGGUUACGCUAUCC
rnacentral:lncRNA from 1 species